rnacentral:rRNA from 1 species
UACGUAGGGGGCAAGCGUUGUCCGGAUUUAUUGGGCGUAAAGAGCUCGUAGGCGGUUUGUCGCGUCGACUGUGAAAACUGGGGGCUUAAUUCUCAGCUUGCAGUUGAUACGGGCAGACUUGAGUUCGGUAGGGGAGACUGGAAUUCCUGGUGUAGCGGUGAAAUGCGCAGAUAUCAGGAGGAACACCGGUGGCGAAGGCGGGUCUCUGGCCGGAUGACUGACGCUGAGGAGCGAAGACGUGGGGAGGCGAACAGG